GUAAAACCAAAGACAGGCAGCCCGGCGCCAGGCCUGAAACCAGGCCUGGGCCUGCCUGGCCUAAACCCAGUAGUUAAAAAUCAACUCAUAACUUAGAAACUGAUGUUAUUCAUAGAUUCCAGACAUUGUAUAGAAGAACAUUGUGAAACUCCCUGUCCUGUUCUGUUUCUCUCUGACCACCGGUACAUGCAGCCCCUGUCAUGUACCGCCUGCUUGCUCAAAUCAAUCACGACCCUUUCAUGUGAAAUCUUUAGUGUUAUGAGCCCUUAAAAGGGACAGAAAUUGUGCAUUCGGGGAGCUUGGAUUUUAAGGCAGUACCUUGCCAAUGCUCCCAGCUGAAUAAAGCCCUUCCUUCUACAACUAGGUGUCUGAGAGGUUUUGUCUGCGACUCGUCCUGCUACAUUUCUUGGUUCCCUGACCAGGAAGCGAGGUGACUGACGGACGGCCGAGGCAGCCCCUUAGGUGGCUUAAGCCUGCCCUGUGGAGCAUCCCUGAGGGGGACUCUGGCCAGCCUGAGUGAUGUGGUCCGAAGAGCGCUUGGGUAGGAAAUUGCCCCUGUGGAAUGCCUCGUCAGAGCAGCGCAUAGCAGGCCCCCACGGAGGAUUAACACAGUGGCUGAACACUGGGAAGGAACUGGCCCUUGGAGUCCAGACAUCUGAAACUUGCUCUCAAGAGUUUGGGGUUUUUGAGGUUUGCCAUGGUACAUCAAUAGAAUAUCAAAUGACAGGAUAAGACCUAGAAGACAAAUGUAAAAUUCCAAAAUGCAUGCUGUGGAUGAAUGUAGCAAUAUGAGAUGAGUACUAUUUGGGAUGCAGAAAGCAAUAUUUAACUGAUCAGCUGCCACUCACAUCAUGAAUCAGAAGCAGCCUUAAAAGAAAGGAUCCCUUCUUGCUAUUUUGAAGGGAAAUAACUGAGUCCUUUGGAGCUGAAAAUGAAAAACUGAGUAGCUGGUGGAAGAAGCGAGAUGGGUUUGGAACUCACAGGCUAUGUUUCUGGAUGCAUCACAUUUGCAAGAGGGAAGUUUUGGUGUCCCUGUGGGUAUAUUAGCACUCCUUUACUCCAUUUCUCUGUAGCUACUCAAGCAAGUGACAAGCUGCAGAGUCCAAGAAAGGUGACAGAUAUGAAGAAAUGCAGUGGUUGCAAAGGACAAAGACAAUGGCAACACAAAUAAAAGAAAUUAUGAGAAGGAAAUAAAUAUUAAAAAAAAAACCCAAACGUUUGUUGAUGUAAACUGAAAAUAAAUUUGGAAUGAGCUGUGUGCACUUGGAAAUGAGAAGCUCUGUCCUGCACCAUGAAGGGCUUUGUGUGCAUCCAUGGGUUGCUUCUGCAUGCAGAAUGAGACUGGAACAAAAAAGAACCAUUUAAAACACAGGAUCCAGGUGAUUCAGGAUUUUAAAUUGAAGAUUGAUCAUACAAGCUGGAAGACGUCCCAUGACACUUUAUUUGAAAUUGGAACAUCAGAAUUUGGUUGGGUCUAUCUUUUACUAACUCUGUACCAUGAAAAAAUUAUUUAAUAUUUCUGAACUGUGUAAAGAAUAAAAUUAGAUUAUGAAUUCAAUCUGUUGCUGCAUAAUCAAUUACCUCCAAUCUUAGCAGCUUCAAACAACAAACAUAAAUAAACUUAGUUUCUGCAGCUCAGGAAUUCAGGAGUUUAGCUAGAUGGUUCUGGCUUGGAGUCUUCCAUGAGGUUGCCAUCUAGAGGUCAGCCAAGGCUGCAGUCAUUUGAAGGUUUGACUGGGGCUUGAGAAUUCACUCUCAUGGCUAGUCACAUGUUCACUUCUGUGUUGGCUGUUGGCAGGAAUUUUCAGAACCUUGCCAUGUGGGUCUCUCCAUAUGGCUGCUUAAGCAUCCUCAUGACACGUCAGCUGGUCUCCCCAGUGGGAGUGAUCGAAGAGACAGAAGCAAGAAUGUCUUCAAUGACCUACCCUUGUAAGUCACAUACCUCACUUUCACCUAAUCCUCAAAAGGAGAGAGUUAGACUCCACCUUUUGGAGGCAAGAAUGUCAAAGAAUUUGUGGACAUAUUUCAAAACCAUCACUGGAUCAUAUAUGUGAAAAUAAACACUUACAAAAAAUAAAGUGCUAUAAAUGGGAUACAUUCAGAUAAGGAACCCUUCUUUCAAUGCCAUCCCAGAAUUCCCUCAGCUUAAUUCUCCCAGAAGCUUCAAGACCUUCUAAAAUUGUUUGGGCUUGGUCUUUAUAGUCUGGAGGCACCAAAAGCCUGAGAUUUGUAUAGAUUAAGGAAGAAUCAGAAUCUAAGAGACAUUAAAUGACUAGCCAAAGAUCACACUGCUAGUUGGUGGAAGUCCGAGGAGUUUGUCCUAAGUGUGCCUAACUUCAAAUCCCCUCAUCUUAAUCAUUGUGUCACAUCAUGUCAUAAAAAUGGAUGAAAGAAGAAAGAAGACACAAACACCCAGUAUUAUUUUAGGACAAUUUCAUGGCAUUAAGUGUGGAUUUUCGUUUUAGCUAACAUUUUCAUGAAGGAAAAUCUUUGAGGAUGUUCUCUCCAUUAAAAAAAGAAGGAAAAAAACUCAAGAUAAUUAUAGAUUUACAUGCAGUUGUAAAAGUUAGUAAUGUAAAGAGAAGGCUUGUACACUUUGCCUAAUUUCCCCAGUGGUAACUUUUUUAGAGCUAUAGUAUGAUAUCACAACCAGGAUAUUGACAUCAGUCAAUCCACUGAUCUUAUUCAGUUUUCCUAAGUUUACUCUUUAAUGUGUGUGUGAAGUUCUACACAAUUUUAUUACUCGUAUAAGUUCGUGUAUCAUCACCCUGGUUAAAAUACUGAGGGGUUCCAGUGCCACAAGGAUCCCUCCUAUUCUUUUUGAGCCACACCCAUUCCCCUUCUUCCCCAAUUUCUCCACCUCCCUUUCUAACUAUCUGCCACUAGUCUGUCCUCCAUUUCUAAAAUUUUGUCAUUUCAAAAAUUUAAUAUAAGUGGAAUUAUGUAGUAUACAACAAUUUGGAGUUUUGUUUUUGCUCAACAUGAUUUCCUAAAGAUUCAUUCAAGUAGUUCUGUAUAUCGAUAGUGUAUUUCUUUUUAUUGCUGAGUAGUAUUACAAUUUUGUUUAACCAUUCAACUCUUUUUUGUUAGUUUCUUUUUGUUUUUGAGAUGGAGUCUGUUGCCCAGGCUGGAAUGCAGCAGCGCGAUCUCUGCUCACAGCAACCUCUGCCUCCUGUGUUCAAGCUAUUCUCCAGCCUCAGCCUCCUGAGUAGCUGAGAUUACAGGCGUGAGCCACAGCGCCCACCCUAGCCAUUCAACUCUGAAGCACAUCUGGGUUGAUACCAGUUUUGGGCUGUUACAAUAAAACUUCUAUGAACAUUCACGCACAAAUUUUUGUGGGAACAUACGUUUUCAUUUCUCUAGGAUAGAUGUACAGGAAUAAAAUUCUGGGUCAUAUGGUAGUUGCAUGUUUAAAUAUUUAAGAAACUGCUAAACUGCUUUCCAGAGUGUCUGUACCAUUUCACAGUCCUAAAAGCGAUGUAUGAAUGAUCCAGUUUCACCAUUUCCUCAUCAGCAUUUGGUGUUGUAAUUCUCAUUUUAAUAAUGCUUAUAGAUGUGUGGUGAUAUCUCAUUAUGGUGUUCAUUUGUAUUUCUCUAAUGACCAAUAAAUAUUUAACAUAUUUCCAUGUGCCUGCUUUUUUGCCAUUUUAUAUCCUCUUUGGUCUAUAAUGCCUUUUGUCCAUUUUCUAAUUAAAUAUUUAUGUAUUGUUGAGUUUUCAGAGUUCUUUAUAUAUUCUAGAUAUUAUUCCUUUGUCAGCUAUGUGGUUUUAAAAUAUUUAUUUCUAUCUUGUAGCUUGUAAUUUCAUUUUCCUCACGUGGACUUUCACAAAGCAAGUGUUUUUAUUUUUGAUAAAAUCAGAUUUGUCAAGUUUUCCUUCUGUGGAUCAUGAUUUUGUUGUCAAGUCCAAUAACUGUCUGCCUAGCUCCAGAUCCCAAAGUUUGCUCCUGUG
rnacentral:lncRNA from 1 species